GUAUGCAAAUUAAAAUCAUCUCUGAAAGGGGGUAAUCGUUUCAUGAGCAGAGGGUGUGCGGAUCGGAGAAGGAUAAGGGAAAACUGCCUGGAACGGAAAAGCGGAAAGCAGACGAUGCAGAUGCGAAUAAGGAUU